AGCCUCGUACAAACGAGCCACAUUGCAACUGUAUGUAGGUCACGCCCUCGGCAACUGAAUACAUAAAUGUUUCGCAGAGCCAAUCCAAAGUUGGAAGACAAAUUAUGGUGGUGAUUUUGGCCAAAGACAAGACCUGACUUUGUGGCAUGGGCGGUGUCUUUCACACGAGAACAUCGAGAACUCGUUUGAACAUCGUCGGACCAGCGCGAAACUCAGCGAAAGUAUAGUUCAGGCUGCAGCUACCAUUAGACAUCCCGGAUGUGGAAGUCUGGGUGUGAAGGUCUGCUAGGGUGAUCAACUAGAUAGCCAAUUGGCAAACGGUUUCAACUGCUAGACUACUCAUGAUCACGAUCUGGUCAAUCGGAGCUAUAGAUAUAGAGUUAUCUCUAUGCAGACUCUGUAGUGGGUUAUGGCAAUGUCUCAGGAAGUAAGAAUGAAAUGAAGUCAACAGCUGUAAUCAAGUGGACUGCGAUGAGUAUAACUUAAAAGAACAUUAUUAGAGACAUUCAAAGUAUUGAUACUGGAUCAGAGUGAGGUUUUAUGAUGGGACGAGACGCAGACGUUAUGCUUUGUGGAGUAUGAAACCGCAGUGAUGCAUUGAUGGCUUACUGGAUCGAGUCCUAUGAGGAUUACUAUUUGUCCAAGUGCUUAUUUGCGAGUACACCUUGGGUUAUAUAGAGAGCUGUCCAUCGAGUAUUCAAGAGUUUAGUGGAGGAAGACGUACUGGAUGGAACUUCAGACAAUGCUUUUCUUCUGAUGAGAAUAAAGUGUUGACAAACAAGAUCGUGGAAAAUGUCAGCAGUUUGAACCCCUCCUUUGACACUAGUGUGAUAUGAGAUGGGCAGAUUUUCAACGACCACCGGGGUAUGUUGAUGGCAUCACCCAUGUGGAUCAGACAUCAUAUGGCGAUGUGAUGGUACUUCACACGGAUAAGGCCACAGAUG